CUGUCUCGAAGGAAACAACAUAACAAUAAAAGAAAACGCAGCAGCAAGCACCACACGUGAUCCCAUCACUCUCUGGGCCUUUUCUUCCUUUGCUAUCAGAGUAGGCGAUUCACGUAGCCAAUUCAUUGGCUGUUGCUGUUGUUGUGUGUACUCGUACUCUGUGGGUCGGAGGUACCGCUCUGCGACCGCCCCCCUCCUUCUCUCUCACGGAGCACUUUUCCAGCUUCGUGGCGUUUUCUCAGGAUUCGCGUCCGUUUCUCCCUCUUCCCUGCAGCGGAAACUCUCGGACACGGUGACGGGCACAUUGGCACUCGCAUACGCGUAGAGGCAGGCAUACAUACGCACAAGCACACAGGCCUGUCUUUGCCAGGCGGCUACUCUUUUCGCACGCUCUUGCUCGAGGUGGUCAUUCCCCUUUAUCUCCUCUCACCACUCCUUCACGUUUGUGUGUGUACUGCUGGUGGUGCUGGUGUGGUAGUCUCAACAUUCUUCCUCCUCCUCCUUUUCCAUCGUGCGCGUGCACUGCUCACAUGCGAAAAAAAGAAAACCACUAGAGGGACCUGUAGAUGAAUGACAGAGUUUAAUAGAAUAGACGACGUAGAUGCAUUCUGCCUGAAGCUCUACUCGGGAGACAAGGGGGCCACCCUGAAGGUGACUGUCGAUGGAUGGCGUCGCAUCAUCGACGAGAUUGGGCUGCACCUGCUAAUGGCGGUCCUGCAGCAGUCCACAAGCGCGUACUCUAUAAUCUUCGUGUCUCGUGCCGCAUCAGAAUGCUUGGAGACGCUGUUUGUGGACGCAGACGAGCUGACGCAGUUUACGCUGAGCGUGUAUGAGCUGCUGUGCGUUCGGGAUGCCGGGCUGAACGCGGCGGCUAAGCUGGCGCUGCGCCAACUCGUGUGCGUGGCCGUUCAGAGGGGUUAUCAUUACUCCCACACGCUGGCACAGAUGCCGUCAAGUGUGUGCGCAUCGUGCUCCUCCUCGAUUCAAGCUGGUGAUCAAGGCGAUCGGCUUCGCGUAGGCUGCGAGGUGCUCACCGACCUUGUCAUCACGCUGAGUGAGCGGCGCAUGACCACCUUUGCCACUGACGUGAGCAUUGCGAAGUCCUUCCGCGAUGACCACCUCCUCAGUGUUUUCCGAUUAGCCGUUCGAGUAGUGAAGGAAGUGCAGCCGAGCAGUCGAACGGUCGUGGCAGCCGGGCUUAGGCUAGCGCAGCACGUGCUAGAGUUCGACUUUGCGUGCGACACCAUGCAAACAGAGGCCGAGGAGAAUCCUGUGACGAGAACGUAUCCAGAUAGCUGGGCAGCAGACCUCUUGGACCUGCAGCUGAUGGGCCGGCUGUGGUUCUUGUACCGAAUUCCCGACCUGGAACCGGAUGUGGCGCACACAUUGCUGGAGGUACUGACCUCGCUGGUGAGUUUGCGCAAAUCGUUCUUCACCGACGUCGAGCUGCGACCGCGGUGGUACGCGGUAGUCCUGCUACAGACGCACCUCGUCAUGGAGCGCUUCCUGCACCUGGAAGACGAGGAGACGCUCAGCGCCUUCGCGCGACUUCUCAAUCGCAUGAAGCCUAACUGCGACCUCCGUGAACUCAUGCAGCUGACGGAGUUCUCGCCGUGGCUGCGGUCCCUCUGCAGCUUCACAAGGCAGUGCCUGGCCAACUGGAAGCACGCCUCGACAUCACUGCUGUCCCUGCUAAGUGUGUGGGGACGCCUCAUCGAAGCCAAGUCGUACGCCACGCAGGAUACGGCGGAGAUGCUGCACUGUGGCCUGCAGGUAGUGAGUUGCUACCUUGAAUGCCUUCACAGCCGCGUACAAACGUUCACGAUGGAGUUGGCUAAGUUCAUGAGCAGCGACAGCGCCGCCAUGCGACAGGCAAACUCCAAUAGCAUGCCGGUCGAGUACAUUCUGGACGACGACGAGGAGGGGGUCCGACUUGAGGUCGAGUUUCUCCUGAAGGUAGUGAUAGGGUGCGGCGAGGAGGGCUGGACGAUGCUCGAGGCCAACUCGGAGCGGGUAAGUCAAUCCGUGCUGGCACACGUGCGCCCGAACGCUUCUGCUGUCUCGGUCGACCACAUCGUGCUUAUGGAGGAGGCGGCGUGGUCUCUGCAUCUGCUCAGCGCCGCACUGCACUCCGACGGCGCUAUCGACAGCGGUGCCGCCCGCGUUCUUGCCAUGCUCCUGCACAGCCUCAUACUGCUUCAGCGCUUCUCCACCCAUGUCGUGUUUCUCGACAGCGUCCCCGGCUCCGUUCGUGGGCAUAUCGCGGCGGCAACCACGCGCGUUCUCGCCGCAAUCCUCUCCAAGACCGUGUCGGUGUACGUGGUGUCCAACCGUAAGACCUCUGCCUUUGUCGAGCAGCUCAGUAGCCAGCUGCGGCAGUGCGGAGAGAUGGAUACAGCAGGGACGUUUGGUGCCUACUUUCUGAAUGUCGCCGUCCACGCGCUGUGGACGAUACUCAGCGCGACAAACAUGCCCGACGAGGUGCGCGUGGCGGCGCUGCAGCUGUUGGACGAGUGGACCUCUACCUCGAGUGUGUUGCGGGUGCUCAAGGAAACGCGCUCGUACACGUAUCUGAUGAACCUCCACAACGAAUCCAUCCCAGCCCCACUGCAGCGCCCGGUAGCGCUCAAGGCGCGGUACCUGUUUAUUCGAUGUGUGGCACAAGUGCGCUUCCUCGACGCCUCCGCGCUCACAGACUCUGUAGUGAACACCCUCAUGGAGCCGGUGCUGGCGCGCAUUUCACAGGCAGUGUACGGGGCCGCCACUGGCGGGUCUAGCGCGGAGAGCACUGACCGCCUGACGCUGGCGCUCUGCGACAUGCGCGGCAUCCUGAGCUGCACGGAGCGCCGACCGUACCGAGUAGUAAUGGACAUGAUCGAGCCUUUUCUGUAUCCUGUAGCCGACGCCGUACUACAAGAAAGCAGCUGCGGCGAGGAGACUGUAACGCAGCUCCUGGAGCUGGUGAAUGAGAUGGCGCUGAACAAGAACCAGCGCAUCGCCUUUGGGGCACAGAGCGCGAAACCCGUGCACAUAUUUCGCUAUGUGAGCCGGGUGGUGGUGCGCUCCGCACGGCUUGUCCAUCUUAUCUUGGGGGGCGGCGUAACGGGACCAAGCGCACAAACCCCGUCGCCACCGCUGGUGGAGUGGGGGUGGAAAGUGAUGCGGCUGGGCCUUUUGGCAGCGUACCACAUUUUGCAGGGAGGGUGGUGCAACUUGGGGGUGCUGCAGCUCUACGAGGACACGGCGCUCACGAGCCUGCUGUCUAGUGUGUGGGGCCUGCUGUGCAGGUUGCCUGUACAUGAGUACAUAGUGCGCUCGAAGGUGUGCACGGCUGUGAUCAAGGUGGUGAACGUGCUGGCUGCGCGUUUCUUCCACGACUUCUGGGCGAAGCAGCCGCCGCGGGAGGUGUUCACUGUCGUUGGCUUUGUGGAGUCGCUUGCCUUCCCGGCCAGCAUCAACGCCGUCGAAGCCGCACAGCAGAAUGACGCGCUGCAGGCGAUGGACCGCCUCGUGAACUGCUGUUGGGUGCGCACUGCGUAUCCGAUAGAGGAUUUGCAGCAGGCGGCCGUCAUGAAGUCGACGCUGCUGCGGGCGGACGCGAUGGUGUUUCACCGCCUUGUCACAUGUGCGCUCGAGCGCUCCGUGGCGGUUGAUAACCACGGAAUGAGGAAGUUGCUGCUUCCUCUGUUCUACGUGGAGGGCAGCGCUGUGGGCGAGGUGGCGCAGUAUUUCUGCUCCCGUGCCACCACACCGGCCGCCGCGCACGCGUUGCAGGUACAGUUCUCAGAUAUUCAGCGCCACGUCACUGAAAGCGGCGACAUCACCAGCAAGACAAUGGAUGAACUUGCAAACGCCCUGCACACACUCAUGAGCACGCUAAAGGAAUCGCUCUAGUGCGUCGAGGAAGCCGCCGAAGCGCCACGCAGAAGCAAACGCCGAGCCGGGAAGCUUGAGAGAAAAGGGUGGUGAGUGGCCCUCUUACGCAAGUGUCGUGCUGGGCAUCUUGUGCAAAGUGGGGAGAGAGGCGGUACAGGGGAGGCCCUGCAUGCUGAGAGAUACGGUGCUCACAUAGUAGCACGCAGAGGGGGGAGAGACAGACACACAUGCGAGCACAGACACAGGAUCCUCUUGAUGGGGAAGGAUGACGCCCUCCCCAUCCACUCCCUCAUCCUCCUUCGGCCUCUCGACCAUUUUAUACGUGCAGCUAAUCCACAAAAAGGAGAAAGCAAAACUGCGACUCGGCGAAAGAGCCUUCCCCUACCCCCAGCCCGUCCCCUCUACGUGGCAGAGGAAGGAAUGAUGACGAUGUCGGAGUGCAGAGAGGCGUGUGGCUCUCUCGGUUUCCACACCUGUGCGUGCGAGUGUCUUUGAGUGUUUGAGGUCAGGGAUGAGAGGGCGAGGACAAGCCGGAAACGCUAGCUCGAGGAGAGCCGCAAGCAUAGAGCGGCGGUCCACAGCCACAAGCUGCGGUGCCUUUCUGCUCAGUGGCAAGGCGCAAGCGGCUGAGAAAGAUGAACGGGUGUGUGGACCGUUGUCCCGUGUGUCUUCGGUGCGAAUGCUCUUCGCGAGCAGCUCCUCUCUUCUCCACCUCCUUGCCCUCUCCCACCUGUCUUGGCUUUGCAAGCGGCACAUCCCCGUCUGUACCACUCUCUCCCUGCUCUCUGUGUCUAUCCCCUGCAUGUGUUCCCCGCCUUCCACCCCCCACCCACACACCUAUUCGCGCGUGAUCAG
rnacentral:misc_RNA from 1 species